rnacentral:tRNA from 1 species
GCACGAGUGGCGGAAUUGGCAGACGCACCGGAUUUAGGUUCCGGUACCGAAAGGUGUGUGGGUUCGAGUCCCUCCUCGUGCA